rnacentral:rRNA from 1 species
UACGUAGGGUGCGAGCGUUAUCCGGAAUUAUUGGGCGUAAAGAGCUCGUAGGCGGUUUUGUCGCGUCUGUCGUGAAAAGUCCGGGGCUUAACCCCCGGAUCUGCGGUGGGUACGGGCAGACUAGAGUGCAGUAGGGGGAGACUGGAAUUCCUGGUGUAGCGGUGGAAAUGCGCAGAUAUCAGGAGGAACACCGAUGGCGAAGGCAGGUCUCUGGGCUGUAAACUGACGCUGAGGAGCGAAAGCAUGGGGAGCGAACAGG